rnacentral:tRNA from 1 species
UGGGAGAUGGCUCAGUGGUUAAGAGCACUGGCUGCUCUUCCAGAGGAUCUGGGUUCAAUUCUCAGCACCCAC